rnacentral:tRNA from 1 species
GGGCCUGUGGUCUAGUGUCCUUAAGGCUAGAAGCUAUGACGUCGCCUCGACACGGCGAAGUUCGAGUGUUCAAAUCACUCCAGGCCCA